rnacentral:rRNA from 1 species
UACAGAGGGUGCGAGCGUUAAUCGGAUUUACUGGGCGUAAAGGGUGUGUAGGUGGCUGCGCAAGUCGGUUGUGAAAUCCCCGGGCUCAACCUGGGAACUGCUUCCGGAACUGCGUAGCUAGAGUACGGUAGAGGGUGGCGGAAUUUCCGGUGUAGCGGUGAAAUGCGUAGAUAUCGGAAGGAACAUCAAUGGCGAAGGCAGCCGCCUGGGCCUGUACUGACACUGAGACACGAAAGCGUGGGGAUCAAACAGG